rnacentral:lncRNA from 1 species
AUUCUAAUAUCACCAGACAAAUCACUCAGCCUCCGUUUGGUUCGGGGUUAAGGAAAAAGUAGCUAUUCCAGGGAUAGAGUUAAGUUCAUGGUUAAAAUGGGGUUAAAAUUUUUUUGUGUUUAGUUGGGGGUUGGAGUUAAUCUAAAAUAAUGAAAAAUAGUGUUUGGUUGGAGUAGGUGGGAUAAGAAGAUAAUGAUUGAUAAAGAAGGAUAAUGAUUGGUUGGAGUAGAUGUAAUAAGAAAGAUAGUGGGUUAUUAUGAAUAGAAAAUAGUGUUUGGUUAGAGUUUGGUGUGUGAGGCAUCAUCAGAUAGUGAUGGAGUAGAUUGGUGAG